AUUGAACGCUGGCGGCAUGCCUUACACAUGCAAGUCGAACGGCAGCACGGGAGCAAUCCUGGUGGCGAGUGGCGAACGGGUGAGUAAUAUAUCGGAACGUGCCCAGUCGUGGGGGAUAACGUAGCGAAAGCUACGCUAAUACCGCAUACGAUCUACGGAUGAAAGCGGGGGAUCGCAAGACCUCGCGCGAUUGGAGCGGCCGAUAUCAGAUUAGCUAGUUGGUGGGGUAAAAGCUCACCAAGGCGACGAUCUGUAGCUGGUCUGAGAGGACGACCAGCCACACUGGAACUGAGACACGGUCCAGACUCCUACGGGAGGCAGCAGUGGGGAAUUUUGGACAAUGGGCGCAAGCCUGAUCCAGCAAUGCCGCGUGCAGGAUGAAGGCCUCGGUUGUAACUGCUUUGUUACGGAACGAAACGGUAGGAAGCUCUAAUAAAGACUGUCUAACUAGACGGUACCGUAACGUAAUAAGACACCGGCUACUAACGU
rnacentral:rRNA from 1 species